CUAAACUGUCGGUAGGUAGAAGAUCUAAACCGUCAGUAGGUAGAAGAUCUAAACUGUCGGUAGGUAGAAGAUCUAAACCGUCGGUAGGUAGAAGAUCUAAACCGUCGGCAUGUAGAAGAUCUAAACCAUCGGUAGGUAGAAGAUCUAAACCAUCGGUAGGUAGAAGAUCUAAACUGUCGGUAGGUAGAAGAUCUAAACCGUCGGUAGGUAGAAGAUCUAAACCGUCGGUAGGUAGAAGAUCUAAACCAUCGGUAGGUAGAAGAUCUAAACCAUUGGUAGGUAGAAGAUCUAAACUAAACUGUCGGUAGGUAGAAGAUCUAAACCAUCGAUAGGUAGAAGAUCUAAACCAUCGAUAGGUAGAAGAUCUAAACUAAACUGUCGGAAGGUAGAGGAUGUAAACUAAACUGUCAGUAGGUAGAAGAUCUAAACUAAACUGUCGGUAGGUAGAAGAUCUGAACUAAACCAGAAACCACAGACUGUCUCUGGUAGAAACAACAAUGUCUCUAGGUGACGUCAUGUUGAGUGGUGAUGGAGCAGCUGCAUAGCCUGGCACUGAUCCAUCCAGACUCCAUUCAGAAAACAAGCAUUUUAAAAGUUGUCUGCUUGUCGUCAUGGUAACAGACCUGAAAAAGCAUGAAUUCUGACUUUUUACUAAUCGGCAUCAUUAUAUAGUUAUUUCAGCAUCAUUUUGAUCUGUUUAUUGAUAUUAAAUCACAGCACAAUCUGUUUAUUUUGGGUUCAUACUGCAGUAGAGAUGCGUGGCUGAUAGAUACAGUCAGUGUGAUGUCACUGUAUGUGAAUACAGCUUGCCGCCGGGUGAUGUUAUGAACCCAGACAUGAUGGUGUUUGGUUUUCUGACAUCUGGGACUUCACCAACAUGUACAAAGCAGCAACAGUGGUUAUUUUUUCCAUGGUUGAUGGAGGAAAUGUUGUUGGUAUCUAUGGAGACAAGCUCCUCCUCCUCUCCGGAGCGUCUAGAAUGAACUCAAAUGAUCCCGGCGGUCCAACUUGUGCGAGGCGAAAAUUCGCUUCACUCUUGUUGUGAACGCAGCUUUAGAAUGAGUCCUUCAUAUCUCCAUAGGGAGCAGGUCCUCUUCACAGAGUCCUCCAUGUUUCUACAGGAGCCCAGAACAGACAAACAAACCUCUGGCUCUAGAGACAGACUUUAACGUUUUUACGUUACAUGAAGGUCACCGUAGUUCUCCGACACGCUUGUAAAACGGAGAGAUAAACCGUGGUGCCGCCGUCUGACUUGCGUUGCUCCUAAAGUAGUGAGAGAGGUGAACGGCGUUACCAUGGUUUUGUCCUCGACGGCUGGCGUUACCUCAGUCUUGGAAAGGGAGGAGUGAGCUGAGGGGUACUCGGUUGGUUGCAAUCUGCAACCACACCACUAGAUGUCACCAAACGCUACACGCUGUCUCUUUAAAAGUUCCAACAUACUGUUUAGAGUUGAGUAGCAGUGAGCUGGGAAGACAACAUAAGGUUAAAACUAUACUAUGUACCUAAUACAAUGGACACCGGGUCUGUAUAUCACCUGUAAGUGGCUCCAGUAGAGAUGUUGACAUCAGUAGAUAUCAUGUAGGUGUGAUGUAAGAAAAUCCUCCAGCCAAUCACAGCAGCAGCUGUGUCUGAGAGGAGGAACCGGUAAA